GAUGAACGCUGGCGGCGUGCCUAACACAUGCAAGUCGAGCGAACCCUUCGGGGUGAGCGGCGGACGUGUGAGUAACGCGUGGGUAACCUGCCCUAUACACACGGAUAACGUACCGAAAGGUACGCGAAUACGGGAUAAUAUUGUUGGGUGGCAUCUUCUAACAAUCAAAGUUCGGGCGGUAUAGGAUGGACCCGGGUCGGAUUAGCUAGUUGGUGAGGUAAUGGCUCACCAAGGCGACGAUCAGUAGCCGACCUGAGAGGGUGAUCGGCCACACUGGAACUGAGACACGGUCCAGACUCCUACGGGAGGCAGCAGUGGGGAAUAUUGCACAAUGGGCGAAAGCCUGAUGCAGCAACGCCGCGUGAGCGAUGAAGGUCUUCGGAUCGUAAAGCUCUGUCCUCAAGGAAGAUAAUGACGGUACUUGAGGAGGAAGCCCCGGCUAACUACGUGCCAGCAGCCGCCGCUG
rnacentral:rRNA from 1 species